rnacentral:rRNA from 1 species
UACGAAGGGAGCUAGCGUUGUUCGGAUUUACUGGGCGUAAAGGGCGCGUAGGCGGUUUCGUAAGUUGGAUGUGAAAGCCCUGGGCUCAACCCGGGAAUUGCAUUCAAAACUACGUUACUAGAAUUUGGUAGAGGUUGGUAGAAUUCCCAGUGUAGAGGUGAAAUUCGUAGAGAUUGGGAAGAAUACCCGUGGCGAAGGCGGCCAACUGGACCAACAUUGACGCUGAGGCGCGAAAGCGUGGGUAGCAAACAGG